rnacentral:lncRNA from 1 species
GUAGAAAUUCAUGUAUGUUGUAGAUUUUUUUGUUUUGUUUUGUUUUCACGUACUGUGUUUAUAUAUUUGUGUUUCAUAAUUUAUAAUGCUUGGCAAAUGCAAAUGAUACAUCAUCCGUAACCAUUGGUGGCCGUGGCACAUCCAAAGUUUGGAAUAUUUUUUUAUUUUUUUUAAGGUUAGAAUAUUUUACUUUUUUCCCGCAAUAAAACGAAUAUACUAUUCCGUGAAAGCAUAUUGGUUCGGUUAUAAGAAACAAAACAACCUUGAAUAAGCACAUUCAGUUUCACACCUAAUAUUACACUUGUGUUUGCUUGAAUAAGUACACAUUAUACACAAGUAAAAUGUAACCGAAGUCUCUCUCUAUAUAUAUAUAUAUGAAUCGGUAGAACAAGAAUCUUAUAUAAAUCAAAAAAAAAAAAAAAAAAAAAAAAAAAAAAAAAAAAGAAUCUUAUAUAAAUCUGUAGCUAGGUGUACUACUAACUAAUCUAAUACUCAAAAGGAAAAACCAAAAACAAAACAAAA